GACGAACGCUGGCGGCGUGCUUAACACAUGCCAGUCGAACGGAAAGGCCCUGCUUUUGUGGGGUGCUCGAGUGGCGAACGGGUGAGUAACACGUGAGUAACCUGCCCUUGACUUAGGGAUAACUUCAGGAAACUGGGGCUAAUACCGGAUAGGAGCUCCUGCUGCAUGGUGGGGGUUGGAAAGUUUCGGCGGUUGGGGAUGGACUCGCGGCUUAUCAGCUUGUUGGUGGGGUAGUGGCUUACCAAGGCUUUGACGGGUAGCCGGCCUGAGAGGGUGACCGGCCACAUUGGGACUGAGAUACGGCCCAGACUCCUACGGGAGGCAGCAGUGGGGAAUAUUGCACAAUGGGCGGAAGCCUGAUGCAGCAACGCCGCGUGCGGGAUGACGGCCUUCGGGUUGUAAACCGCUUUCGCCUGUGACGAAGCGUGAGUGACGGUAAUGGGUAAAGAAGCACCGGCUAACUACGUG
rnacentral:rRNA from 1 species